rnacentral:misc_RNA from 1 species
UUAAAGAGAACAGAUAUUGAAAAGUAUUACUAGCGCAUGGCUCAGCGCUACUAUUUAUUAAAUAGGUAUAAUGAUGUCAACCUCAGGCAUACAUACAUUGUUUCUCUCCCAGAAGUAUUACAACCUGAACUCCACAGGAGCAUCAUUGCUACCUGAAGAGCAAUGAAUGCCAUCACCAUUGGAGAAAUCCAUCAGAUGACUUUAGCCUGUUUAGAUAAGAUGUGCGAGCAACAAAAAUUGUUCAAGGACAUCAUUGACAAUAGCAAAGCCUUGAAGAAUAUCUGUCAGAAGUCCCACCUUGCUAUCAAAUGCAAG